CUUCGGGCUUUAACUCCCAACCCAAUGUGAACCAUACCAAACUGUUGCCUCGGCGGGGUCACGCCCCGGGUGCGUCGCAGCCCCGGAACCAGGCGCCCGCCGGAGGGACCAACCAAACUCUUUCUGUAGUCCCCUCGCGGACGUUAUUUCUUACAGCUCUGAGCAAAAAUUCAAAAUGAAUCAAAACUUUCAACAACGGAUCUCUUGGUUCUGGCAUCGAUGAAGAACGCAGCGAAAUGCGAUAAGUAAUGUGAAUUGCAGAAUUCAGUGAAUCAUCGAAUCUUUGAACGCACAUUGCGCCCGCCAGUAUUCUGGCGGGCAUGCCUGUCCGAGCGUCAUUUCAACCCUCGAACCCCUCCGGGGGGUCGGCGUUGGGGAUCGGGAACCCCUAAGACGGGAUCCCGGCCCCGAAAUACAGUGGCGGUCUCGCCGCAGCCUCUCCUGCGCAGUAGUUUGCACAACUCGCACCGGGAGCGCGGCGCGUCCACGUCCGUAAAACACCCAACUUCUGAAAUGUUGACCUCGGAUCAGGUAGGAAUACCCGCUGAACUUAAGCAUAUCAUAAGCCGGAGGAA
rnacentral:rRNA from 1 species